UACGUAGGGGGCUAGCGUUGUCCGGAUUUAUUGGGCGUAAAGAGCGUGUAGGCGGCCAGGUAGGUCUGAUGUGAAAACUCGAGGCUCAACCUCGAGACGUCGGCGGAAACCAUCUGGCUAGAGUCCGGAAGAGGAGAGUGGAAUUCCUGGUGUAGCGGUGAAAUGCGCAGAUAUCAGGAGGAACACCAAUGGCGAAGGCAGCUCGCUGGAACGGUACUGACGCUGAGGCGCGAAAGCGUGGGGAGCGAACAGG
rnacentral:rRNA from 1 species